rnacentral:lncRNA from 1 species
AAACCCUUACUUAUAAAUGUCUAAGAUUCGUCGCGAACGUCCCCGACCGGAAAGAUCAGCUUAAGAGACGGCUGCAGGAGAUAAGAUCGAUCGGCGGCGACCGUUAUCAAGCUAUCGUUAUGUUUCGGAGGAACAGGUUUCUGUCUUUGCCAAUGGUGAUCGGAGCAGUUGUGUAAGUAGUCGUUUAAUCUUAAUUAGGCCAAAAUCUAAAUCUUGAAUGCUCUAUGAUUAUGGUUUCUUCAAGAAGACCUGGUAGAUAUUUUUGCUUAUUGGCUUUUGGAGAUUAUAUAGAGAUAGUAAAUUGUAGAUUACUCGAUUUUCCAACUUGAAUUAAGUUUUUUUUUCAUUUAGUUAAUAUAAUCGAUCUGAGCAUUGUAAGUAGUCAAUAAGGUAGAAUUCGAGAUGAUUCUUUUGAGGAUUGGACUUCAAUUUUCUGAAAAGUAAGUAGCAAAAGAUCAUUACUUUAGCAAUAUCAGAUCAGGAUUUAUGUAAAUUGCCUUAACCGAGAUUUAGCCCAAAUGCUAUAUUCUCCUGAAAUUUGUCAAAUGUCUGAUUCAUUCGUUACUAGAGUGAAGCAAUCUGAAUAUGUUUGUUUUGCUUGCAGGAUUGGUGUGGUUUCAGGGAAAGCGAUUUUCGGGCCUCCGCUUGAUCAGUACUGGAAAGAGAAGCUCGAAGGAGAAGAAGCUGUUGUUGCCAAGGAAGUCACUGAAAAGAGCUCAGAUUCAUCAACCUAAAGAUGUUUGUACUAUUUACGAGCAGAGUUAUGUAAAUCACCGUUGAUUUAGUUACGGAUCAUAACGAAGAGCUUGGACAAAUGUUUGCAAGGAAGCAUUGUUAAUGUUUUGUAGGAGGUGAUACAUACCAAAAGAGCAACAAAGUGUAACAAAUGUAGUAAGUGCCUUGCAUUUAAACGGGAUUAACAGCUGCUGGUCUUGUUGGUAGUAGUAUCCUUAUACUAUAAAAUAAGUUAAUUAUCUUCCUCAUUCCGGAAAACUCGUGAUAUAUAUAUAAACAGUUGUAUUCUCAAUUUGCAUAAACACC